UGGGGAAUAUUGCACAAUGGGGGAAACCCUGAUGCAGCGACGCCGCGUGAACGAAGAAGGUAUUCGUAUCGUAAAGUUCUGUCCUAUGGGAAGAUAAUGACAGUACCAUAGAAGAAAGCUCCGGCUAAAUACGUGCCAGCAGCCGCGGUAAUACGUAUGGAGCGAGCGUUGUCCGGAAUUAUUGGGCGUAAAGGGUACGCAGGCGGUUUAAUAAGUCGAAUGUUAAAGAUCGGGGCUCAACCCCGUAAAGCAUUGGAAACUGAUAAACUUGAGUAGUGGAGAGGAAAGUGGAAUUCCUGGUGUAAUGGUGAAAUACGUAGAUAUUAGGAGGAAUACCAGUAGCGAAGGCGACUUUCUGGACACAAACUGACGCUGAGGUACGAAAGCGUGGGGAGCAAACAGG
rnacentral:rRNA from 1 species